UCGGUUCCACUGACCCUUUCUCAGAACUGCCAGAUGCGCUGAGCUUUUCCAGCACUUUAUCAUAGAAUAGAAUAGAAUCCCUAUGGUGCAGAAACAGGCCAUUUGGCCCAUCGAGUCCACACCAACUCUCCAAAAAUAUCCCACGCAGACCCACCUCCUAUCCUUUCAUUGCUCACCCUAGACACUGCGGGCUAGCAUCCACCUCGCCAGCACAUCUUUGGACUGUCGGAGGAAACCGGAGCAAACCCACGCAGACAGAGGGAGAAUGUGCAAACUCGACACGGACAGUCGCCCGAGGAUAGAAUCGAACCCGGGUCCCUCGUAUUGUGAGCUGCAGUCUUUUAGUGAAAAAUGAGGAUCUUAUUGGGAUUGCCUUUGAUGAUACCAAACCAGAAGGAAUAACAGCAGCAACCAUGAACAACGAGCACAACAAAGACAUGCAUUACCCAGAGCAGAACAUUGUACCUGAACAUAGGAGCCGUGUAUAUGCAAGGUCUUCUUCAGCAAGCAGGUGACUUACAGAACAAAGGCCUAUCUCCGAGCUGUUGCUGCUAGUGUUAAUUUGAGUGAUGCUGGAUUUUCAUGAGUGAUGCCUCAGAUAAAAGUGAAAUAUUGUGGGGUGCUGGAAAUCUGAAACAAACACGGAAAAUACUAGAAAAACUCAGCAGAUCUGGCAGCAUCUGUGGAAUGAGAAACAGGAUUAAUGUUUUGAGUCCAAUAUGACUCUUCAGAUCAAGUACAAAUUUGAAGCUUACAAUAAAUUCUCCUCAAUUAAUUGGAAGUUAAUAGCAAA